CAACUACUCCCUCUGUCCCAAAUUUCUUGUCUUAGAUUUGUCUAGAUACGGAUGUAUCUUAUACUAAAAUGUGACUUGAUACAUCCGUAUCUAGACAAAUCUAAGGCAAGAAUUUUGGGACGGAGGGAGUACUUU
rfam:Triticum aestivum genome assembly, contig: Triticum_aestivum_CS42_TGACv1_scaffold_515622_6BS